AUACGGAGGGUGCAAGCGUUGUUCGGAAUUACUGGGCGUAAAGCGCGCGUAGGCGGUCUGUUAUGUCAGAUGUGAAAGUCCUCGGCUCAACCGGGGAAGUGCAUUUGAAACUGGCAGACUUGAGUACUGGAGGGGGUGGUGGAAUUCCCGGUGUAGAGGUGAAAUUCGUAGAUAUCGGGAGGAAUACCGGUGGCGAAGGCGACCACCUGGCCAGAUACUGACGCUGAGGUGCGAAAGCGUGGGGAGCGAACAGGAUUAGAAACCCCGGUAGUCC
rnacentral:rRNA from 1 species